rnacentral:misc_RNA from 1 species
CCUGUGGAUGCUGGAUGACCUGAUGGAUCCCAAUUAAUCACCAGUAUAUUGGCAUGGUCUCAGCAGGAUGGUGCCCUACUUCAUGCUCAGGGAUAAGGGAAAAUGAUUUCAAAGUUUGUUCGCAUUUAAACUUUCUGACAGGUAGGUCCCCGACAUUGAAUAGUAGUGCAGUACAUGCACCUUGAAAAUCAACUUCUCCUCAGCAAACGCUGUGCUUUCUUGACUGUAUUAUACAUUGUUAAUUUGCAGUUG